GUACUACUCCCUCUGUUCCGAAUUACUUGUCUUAGAUUUGUCUAGAUACGGAGGUAUCUAGCACUAAAAUGAGUCUAGAUACAUCUGUAUGUAGACAAAUCCAAGACAAGUAAUUCGGAACGGAGGGAGUAUGUG
rnacentral:pre_miRNA from 1 species